ACGCUGUGGACCCCUCUGAAUUGGCGAGUACUCGUAAAUAUACGUGACUUAGCCAAUCACAUCACUGGAGGCGGGGUUUAUCAGAACACAAUUGGCGUGCAGAGAGGCGCUUUCUCGACUUGCUCGCGCUUGUUUAGAAUCAACAUAGCGGCUUGCUGAGCGACUCACCGGACUACCGCCCCCUGCUGUGCUGAGGCGUGAACACGGAAUCUCUUCAAUAGGGGGACGUGUACAGCGGACGCUCUACUGAUAAUAAACAGAUUAAAAAUGUGUGUGAAGGAGAGAUGUCUUUAUGUUACACGUAUGGAAGGAGUCUCCAGUGUCAGCGCUUUGUAACAGUCAGAGAAGUGACCUGGCCAAGAUGAGCAGCCACGGAAGUUCUCACAAUUACAGUUCGUCUGCACAUCUUCUAGAGACCCCUAAAACAAAGCCUGUUUGAACUGCCUCAAACUGCUUCUUAUCGGUACACAGAAAGGACGAGUCUGCGAGUGUCUAAUUCCCACGACAAUUUGGCGUCUCCUGGUUGGGCUGCGCAAGACUUUUCAGCUUUUCUGCAUAACAAGCAAACCGGAGUACGCCCAUGGAAAAGUUUCACCCUGAAGUCCGUGUUGACACGCAGGCAAUGUGCCCUUUGUUAUGCAGAGUGAAAGACCGAUGCAGCCUUACCACUGACUGAACAACAAAUAACUGCAACCUGAUGAACUUAAGCAGCAAGUACAAGCCUGGAGUCUGAAUCCAAACCUCUCCCCGGUUCCAUGGUUGGAAAAAACUUUUCCACACUGCACUACACCUCCACAAAGCACUAGCCAAAUGCGGAGCAAAUUUCAUGCAGGAACAUGCACAAGCGCCGACUAGUUCACCAAGGACAAGCCCAAAAAUCAGAUCCCAUCAGAUACAAGCCGUCAAUCCAGGCACAUGCGACAAGUCCAAAGAGAUCCCAUGCAGCUCCACAGUGGCCUCCGAUCAUCCACUCAGACAAAAACACAGAUCGGAGCUGCUCACCGAUAUUAUCAAAAUCAAAAGCAAAAACGUCAUCUUAAAAACAAAGAAUAUAUUAAAGAAAUGUGAGCUUAAAGCGAAGAAUAAACAAUUUCCAAACAAACAGACUAUCACGCUACUGCUGCGCCAUCUUGGAUUGAAAAUAAGAGAAUAACUAACUCGUUUCACAGACAUUAAAUGUAACUCUAAACAGAUAAAAUGUACGGCAUGUCAUUGUAUAAGAAUAAAUAGUCAUAGAUAGUAGGUUGCUGUGGUUUAAGAGGAAUAAAACAUUCAGAGACGUGCUGUUAGAGGAAAAUAAUCAACGUUCAGAGUGAUAACAGUGUCUCUGCCCCCUCACUCAGUAUUGUACUGUCACACAGUCAUAGUGAACAUGUGGUUAUUAUUUUAUUCAUGAUCAGGUUUCCAGGAUUCUGGAUUUUUGCGUAAACACAGAUCAGUUGUUUACAGCUUACACCACGACGCCUGUUACGCUACACUUAUUACACAACACCAGUACGGGUAUAAUCACACCGUCAGAUUACAGAGAGUUUCAUUAACGUCCCGCUGACGAGAUAAGGUAAAGCACAACACCAACAUGCUUCUGUUCCAGGACAUCGCUGUUACACUAAUCACACGUCCUCUCUAAGGGUUUCGGGAGGUGUAGAGGUUGAUUGCUGAUGUUUAUCAGAUGCUGGCUGUUCAUCGUGUGUCUUCAUCACAUGUCUCUCUUUCGAUCUUCACCGGCGUGGUGGACUUGCGUGAUUUCUUUCUGGCUGUUGCACCAUUGACUCCUUUACACUCCUUCUGAUUGGUCCAGAGAUGAGUGGAAGCCCCACCCCCUGACAUUUUAUCUUGAUCUAUCAUUUCCAUGUAAUUAUUCAUGUUAACAAAAGCACAAAAGCUUGAUGUGGUAACAGGUGCUAGCAUAGCCAUAUUGGAUCUUUUCACUUCCUGUAUGAUUUUCACCGGAGAUGUGGAGGACUGGGACAGAGCCCAGUGAUUUGUCAUGGAGUGUGUGUGGUGUGUUGAGUGUGUGUGGUGCGUGUUGUGUAGGCGUGGGUUCGGAUUAGCGCUGUGUCUGUUGCGGCUCCUCAGUGAGCUGAACAGCAUGUUGCAGCCCUCGACGGUGCAGCAGUGUUUGAUUUUAAGAUGCACGGCGUUGUAGUGGAUCUUCAGCGUACCCCUGUCGUAGAACGUUUUCCCGCACGAGCCGCAGCUCACGCGAGACUUACGCACAGAAGACGAGCACAGACGCUGGUCCUUCGCUCCUGAGGAAAAGGAGAAAACGCAAGAACAAGGUUGGCGUGGAGUCUCAAGCUUUGCUAAUCUGACAAGUGAUGAUGGCGGCUCGCUACACUCCUCUACACCUCCUGAAAGGUUUUCUGAAUGGCUCGAUCCGGGUGACCUUUGACCUCUGAUGAUUCCGUUCGUCUUUAGAUUAUGACCUGUGUUGAAAAAGCCGUUAUGUUUUGUCGUUUCUGAGCCAUUUGUUGGAAGUGGAAGCUGCUCGCGCUGCGAGAUCAUCAGUUCUGCGCUGGAUUUAGUUUCACCGAAACGUAAAAACUGACGCAGCGUCACGAGUUCGUCUUCAGGUGUCAUGAUCAGCCAGCGAUCCAAAACCUUCCCUGACGAGUCCUGCACAGAGAACACACGCAAAGUGGAGCAAGAAAUAAACAUUUCAAUAGAUCUGAGGAGAAGAACAGCAUUAUCUGGUUUAUGGUGUUCCUCAGAGCUCAGCACUCGGGACCACUGUUAUUCUCUUCUUCCGCUUUUAUCCUGUGUGUGUGUGUGUGUGUGUGUGUGUGUGUGUGUGUGUGUGUGUCUACCUGCAGCUUGUAUCCUCGGAUGUAAUCAUGCAGUGUCCAGCCAUGUGUGUGUAGGACGUCGAGGACAUGUUGGUGUGUGAGGACACUGAAGAGCCGGUCCAGAAGAAUCUUCAUCCUGAUAGGAAACGCGUGUGUGCUGAACAGGAUCAGCGCGCUGAGGUCACACACCACGCCCGAGUGAACAACCUCCACCUGAUUUGAACACACACUCAGCUUACUGAGAGCUACACACACACACACACACGAGAGAGAGAGAGAGAGAGAGAGAGAGAGAGAGAGAGAAACACAAAUAGGAAACAAGUUCACAUUUGUUAGUGAUGGAGAUUCCGUCUCUCUCUCACACACACACACACACACACACAAAAACACACACACACACCAUGCAUGACCCAUCCGUGUUUGCAGCGGUCACAUGACCUCAGGUUGAGUUGUUCAGGCAGGAAACAGCUGCAGCUGCAGUUGACUUGUGAACACCUGAGCACCUGAGUAAAAAUAACAUUUUAAUGUUUUAUUUUUUUUAUUUAUUGCCAAUCCAACCCCCCCCUUACUCUGCAAA